GGGAUAGAGCAGUGUUAGGAUAACUGACUUUUUUGUUGUUCUCUGGGUGCAUUCUUCCCGCUCCCCCUCUCUCUCCCCCUCACCCUCUCUCUCUCCUCUCUCUCUCUCCCUCUCCCUCUCUCUCUCUCUUUUAAAAAAUCAGCCAUUUGGGGUUUUAAGCCAUAAACGAUUUUUCUUGUUGCAGGGGAUUGCAGAGGCAAAGCUAGACUAGGUCUUGGAGGCUGGUGUAAGGUGGUGCGCGGAAGGCAGGACGCUGAUGGGAGAGACUGGUCGAAGAAAAGCCUAAAUGGAUUCUCCGUGCUUUGGAUGGAGAAAGAGGGGGGAAGUGCGAGCUCCUUCAACUCGUUCUGUCCGGUGAGGAGUGAUCCAGCUUGGGCUGACGAGAGGCUCCGGAGCCUUCACGUUCAGUGCUUUUUACCUGCCAAUCAAACUGCUACAAGACAACACCCUGAUCUGGCAUGGUCGCCGCGGGUCCAAGCCUGUAGUCCCAAAUCGGAAAAUCUCUGCAGCUGGUACACGCAAAAGAGAAGCCAGGCAACAGACAUAUUACAGAAGAAAGCUCUCAACUCCGAGAUCGAACCUAGAAAUUGUACUUUCCUCAAGAUCCGCUUAAGAGAAUCUGGUUGAUGGCUUUGGUCUGAGAGUUCAGACAUCUCUUGUGCAACUAAGAAAGACCUCAUUUUCCAUUUGCUGGAUCCUCCUGGUUUGUCAUCCCUGAGUCCUGUAAGAAGCUCAUCAGGAGGUCCCCUGCGCCGGAAGGACCAUGUGAGCUCAUCCCAGAUGAUGGGUGGCACCAUGGUUU
ensembl:processed_transcript